UACGUAGGGUGCAAGCGUUGUCCGGAAUUAUUGGGCGUAAAGAGCUCGUAGGCGGUCUGUCACGUCGGCUGUGAAAUCCCGAGGCUCAACCUCGGGUCUGCAGUCGAUACGGGCAAACUAGAGUAUUGCAGGGGAGACUGGAAUUCCUGGUGUAGCGGUGAAAUGCGCAGAUAUCAGGAGGAACACCGGUGGCGAAGGCGGGUUUCUGGGCAAUAACUGACGCUGAGGAGCGAAAGCGUGGGGAGCGAACAGG
rnacentral:rRNA from 1 species